GAAGCUUCCAAUACACGUGCUACUUGUCCUGUUAACAGACGACUGUAGAUGUUUCCAAUACACGUGCUACUUGUCCUAGUUAACAGACGACUGUAGAUGUUUCCAAUACACACGUGCUACUUGUCCUGUUAACAGACGACUGUAGAUGUUUCCAAUACACGUGCUACUUGUCCUAGUUAACAGACGACUGUAGAUGUUUCCAAU